GUAUUCCUUUCCAGGCGUGGGACUUUUUCCAAACGCCCAAUUUGCUCCCUCCCCUACUGGACACACACCUCGGGUUCCUGGCAUCUCAGUGCCUUGGAAACUUUUUUUUUUCUUUUUAAAUAGAGACGGGGUGUCGCCGUGUUGCCCAGGCAGGUCUUGAACUCUUGGCUUCUGGCUUCAAGUGAUCUUCCAGCCUCGGCCUCCCAAAGUGCUGGGAUUACAGUCAGCCACUGCACCGGAAAUGUUUUCAACCGUGACCCAUAAAGUUCAAUCAUCCAUCAAACACAGUGGACACCAGGCCAGGCAUGGUGUGGCUCAUGGCUGUAAUCCCAGCACCUUGGGAAUGUGAGGCAGGCAGAUCACUUGAGGUCUGGAGCUCGUGACCAGCCUGGUCAACAUGGUGAAACCCCAUCUCUAAUAAAAAUGCAAAAAAUA